GAAUCCUGCAAAAGCCCCACUUAAGAUCUUGUGUAUACCAAAGAUGUGCUCAUACGUCUCUUGGAAAUAAGUCAUUCAGCAUGAAAAACAAGCACAAAACAUCAA